UACGGGGGGAGCAAGCGUUGUUCGGAUUUACUGGGCGUAAAGCGCACGUAGGCGGUCCGUUAAGUCAGAUGUGAAAGCCCCCGGCUCAACCGGGGAAAUGCAUCUGAAACUGGCGAGCUAGAGUACGAAAGAAGGUCACGGAAUUCCCGGUGUAGAGGUGAAAUUCGUAGAUAUCAGAAAGAACACCGAUGGCGAAGACGACAACCUAGGUCGAUACUAACGCUGAGAUGCGAAAGCGUGGAGAGCAAACAGG
rnacentral:rRNA from 1 species